rnacentral:rRNA from 1 species
GAUGAACGCUGGCGGCGUGCCUAAUACAUGCAAGUCGAACGAGGUGCUUUUGUAGCAAUACGAGAGUAUCCUAGUGGCGAACGGGUGAGUAACGCGUGGGAAUCUGCCUUCUAGUGGGGGAUAGCCCGGAGAAAUCCGGAUUAAUACCGCAUACGCCCUACGGGGAAAGCCGGGGAGUCUUCGGACCUGGCGCUAGUAGAUGAGCCGCGUGAGAUUAGCUUGUUGGUGGGGUAAUGGCCUACCAAGGCAACGAUCUCUAGCUGGUCUGAGAGGACGAUCAGCCACACUGGGACUGAGACACGGCCCAGACUCCUACGGGAGGCAGCAGUGGGGAAUAUUGGACAAUGGGCGAAAGCCUGAUCCAGCAAUGCCGCGUGUGUGAAGAAGGCCUGAGGGUUGUAAAGCACUUUCAAUCGUGAAGAAAAGUUGCAGGCUAAUACCCUGUGACCUUGACGUUAACGAUACAAGAAGCACCGGCUAACU